AAAAAAUUCAAGAAUGCAAAAAAAUAAAAGUAAGACGACAAUUAUUCGUAAAACCAAUAGCUAUUGUUAAACCCUAUGUGCCGGAAAAUAAAUAUAAAGCACCUCAAAUAUAUGUACCUCAAGUGGUAGAAACAAGACCACUUGAGGAAUCAGACGAGGAAACGUAUGAAGAUCAAUUGGAAAUCUACGACGAUCUUCCUGAAAUAGACGAUGAACAAGUACGAAUACUUGACAGAAUUGUUAGACGAAUAGAUGUUCAUUUAAUAAAAUUUAAACCUUCCAUUUAAAAUGUAAAAAGAAUUUCUACUAUUGUAACAGCAAAUAUAACAACUUUAACGAACUUCCCAACUAUGUAUUUGAUUACCAUGUGAAUCGUACAUAUACGGAUUUAGUUUAGGUUUUUCUGAAUUGUAUGGUUUAACAACUGCAACAGGUUUUGGUUUAUCAAACUGUUGUAAUGGUUUGUUCUUUGAUUCCAUCUGUAUAAAAUUUAAAUACAUUUCG
rnacentral:lncRNA from 1 species